UUAGUCACUUUGCUCUGCUUUUCCCUCUCAUCGCCUCUGUAUCUUCAUUAUAUACUUUACAAAAGAGAGCAAAUUCUUAACUUUUUUGGGACCAGAGGAAUUGGAGAAGACGCAAUGGUAAAUUAAACAUUUCCAGAUGCCAUCAUGAUAAGAUUUAUCCAACUACCAAAAAGGUUCAGCAUUCUUACUUUAUUGUAAAGGAAAUAGAACAAAGCUUCAGAUGACGAUAAAAAAGAUAAGGAACCACUUCAUUACAAAACCAGCUAACGUUUUGAUAUAGAUCAUAUUUAUACGUAAAACCCAAGUCAUUCCUCUAACGGUGUUUGCGCUUUUCAGGACCAAUAAUCUUGCCAUCUUGGCAAGCCAUUCGGGCUUGUAUGAGUUGUGCAAUUGCCAAUCCAAACAACACUCCAGGAGUAAAUCCUAUAGCCACUGCUUUCCAGUUCAACACCUCUCCUGCUUCUUCCUCUUGGUCUCCUUUUGAAAAAUCUUAGUUGCGGAUAUCUCGUAUAUAUGCGCAUCCUUAUCUGCCUACCUUGUAUAUAUGCGCAAUUUACUUGAGAUAAUAUUUACACAACGUAAAGAAGAAGAAAAUGUGUCCAUCCCAUGAGAAGCAAGUCUAGUUUAUAAAUUAAAUAUAAUAGGGAAAUAUCCUUUUUAGCAAUACGUUAAGCGCCUUUUGGCUAUAUGUUGUAUCGUAAGCUACGUACGAAGAAGAAAGAAGAUCAAAAAUUCAUUCAAUCAAAUAAACUAAACUUUUUCGACCCUAAUUUUACUCUUCCUAACUCUUUUAGUAUCUCGUUUCUUCUCCCAAAGAGAAAGUAAUUGUGUCUCUCAUCUAUCAACCAUGAACAACUUCUUCGGCAUGUCAAAAGGAAAACAUGCAUCAGCUAGAGAGAAUGAGUUAUCAUUGUACGGAUUUGGAAAUCAUGGCUUAAAGAUAAAGCAAGAUCGUGUUAGAAGAAUGGUUCGAUGCGCCGGAAUAUGGCACAACACACAACUGUAAGCGACUUGUCCUUAACUUGUUCUUUACUACUCUCUCUACUCUCCUCUUUUCUUUUACUUAAAGCAUUAAAGUGAAGUAAAGAAUUGAUGCGAAGUAAGUAAUGUGAAGUAAAGAAUAAAGUUUGUGUAUUAAUAUGAAGUAAAGUAUAAAAAAUAAAAUAUGUGAAGAAAGAAAUAUGCUAUAUAUGUAAUAUUCCUUAAGAGAUGUACUAUAAAUACGAAACCUUGGUGAAGAUAAAUCUUCAUAAGUUUGAGUGUCUAAAAUCAGUCCUUUGUAAUCCUUUGAGUGUUUAAUAAAAUAAAGUUUCCACUAAAUUUGAAUCGAUUCAUUUGUUUUGUUUCGAACCCAAUUCUUGAAGUUUCAGUUUUUUACUUUCAAAUUCCUCUGUUCGGAUCCAGUUAUGGCCGUUUCGUUGUUGAUUUGUUUCUCUCUUUCCCAAAAAUUUUCGUUUUCUUCUUCUUUGUAAACGUCAUCAAUAAACACAAACACACACAAGCCUAGCUCCUAUAUUAACACAUACAAAUUUCUAUAUAAUCACAAACACAAGUCUCUAUACAGUAUACAUAAACACUAAUACACAAGAUGAACAACGCACAAGGGAAGUCAGUUUUGAUUUUUUUUUGCUUCACAUCCUAAAAACAAAAAAAAGUUAUACCUUGUAAAAAAAUUCCAUAAAAGUAUGUCCCUCUAAUUUCUAAUAAUUUAUAUGUGAAAUUAAUUUCGUUUUUUUUUUCUUUUCAAAUGAAAGUAUUUGGUUCCAAGACGCCAUCUAAUCAUGCGAUUAAAAAGUAUAGAGUCACCAUUGUUUGAGAUUAUGAGAAUUUCUGAGUUGAGGAAACCGAUAAUCUACGUGAACUUCUUACUAAUAUUGGCGUUGCCUUAACAAUACUAGUUCAUCGUCUAUUCAUCCAUGAUAAUCCAAUAGGGUUCGACAAAUGCAAAAAAAAGUAAUUUUGAAGCUGUUAACAUUCUGACUAAUAGUGGAUUUUGUUUAGGAUACAUAUAAAAGGACAUCCUCUUUUCAUGUUGUUCCAAAACCAUAUACCAUUUAUCUAUGUCUUAAGAAGGGACUUGAUUCUCGCCUUCCAUGAUUUUCUUUCUAAUCUCAUAGAUUUGAAGAUUAAAUCAAAUAUUUUCUUUCAUGCUAUAAUCAAAUCUUUUCUCAAGACAUAGGGAAAUGGUAUAUGGUUUUGGAACAACAUGAAAAUAGGAUGUCCUUUUAUAGGUAGUCCAAACAGAAUCUACUCUUAUUCAUAAUAUUAAUAGCUGCAAAAUUACUUCUUUUGCAUUUGCCGAAUCCCAUUAGAAUACCAUGGAUGAACAGACGAUGAUCUAGUGUUUUUAAGGCAACACCAAUAUUAGUAAACAAUUGAUGUAGAUUAUCGGUUUCUUUGACCCAGAGAUUCUCAAAAUCCCAAAAAAUGGUAAUUCCAUAAUCUUUAAUUGUAUGAUUAAGAUAACGACUUGGAACCAUAUGCUUUCAUUUGAAGAGAGAAAAAAAAACGAAAUUACUAUCACAAUAAAUUAUUAGAAAUUAGAGGGACAUAAUUUUAUGGACUUUUCUUACAUGGUAUAACUUCUUUUCUUACCUUGUGUGUUGUUCAUCCUGUGCAUUUGUGUUUUAUGUAUAGAGAGACUUGUGUUUAUAAAUAUAGAAGCUAGGCUUGUGUCUGUUUGUGUUUCUCAAUGACAUUUAUAUAGAAGUAAAAAAAAAACUAAAAAUUUUUGGAAAGAGAGAAACAAAUCAAAAUUAAAACGACCAUAAUUGAAUUCAAAACUAGCAGCGGAGGGAUUCAAAAGUAAAAACUGAAACGUCAAGAAUUAGGUUUGAAACAAAACAAAUGAAUUGAUUCAAAUUUAGUGGAGAAUCUCGUGCUCUCUUCCGGUGGACGAAAUCAUUUGGAGGCAAGCAAUGAGAAUAGGAUUCCCUUGUCAUAUGUUGCACAUUUUCACAAACAGUCACCCACGGUGUGUCGUGAUUCAUUGUGAAAAUAAUUGACUCGCUAGUGACUUGUAUUGUUUAUCACCAGUAAGACGUACAUAUAUGUCUUUAUUCAAGUUUCAUGUUUAGUCGAUCCAUCUUGCUUUUAACAAGAUCGACAAGAUAGAAUAUGAAUCUGUUUUAAGUAAUAUGAAUCUGUGUAAGCCGAGACCUUCUAGUCAUUAUCAAUGACAUUCCGGUUUUAAGUAACCGAGAAAAUUUGAUGUUGGUAGAAUUGUUGCCUGCCCGCUAUUGGACUCUAUCGACGUUAGUAAGUGUGGUUUUUGCUAAUGUUGCAUUUAAGAUCUCUCAAUGGCUGUUAAAGGUAGGCAUAUGGUUUGUACAACUAACUAAGGAUUUUGUUUAUUCUCCUCUCCGAUUGUGUCUUUUGGAAGGGCUAGUAAUGGCAAUUAAAGCUUUGUGCAAGACAACACCUUCUCCAAGUGUCCUUUCAGGUUCUUGGUUUUCAAGACUCUUGUCUUGUCCAACGUGUAACCACCCUUUCCAGGGAUCUUUGGCACACGUACGGAAUCCAAACACCGCAUUCUUUCUUUUACAACGUUUGCGGCAACGGUUAUCACAGUGGCUGACUAUGUGGCAGUGGUCGGUUAUCCUUCACCUCGAGUGGCCUCACUUUGUUGGGCACCUCUUUAUCUUUGGGACUUGUUGUCCCUUUUAUUUAUCUUAUCACUUUUAUGGUAUCAAGUCAAGCCUUAAAGCUUGUUUGUUGUACUUCUCAACAUUAUUGUUUGUAGUU